rfam:Strongylocentrotus purpuratus Contig120508_fixed, whole genome shotgun sequence.
GGUGUCGUAGUCGAGUGGUUUAAGCAUUUUACUUGAAAUGCAAAGGUCCCGGGUUCAAUCCCGACACGGCACUA